rnacentral:rRNA from 1 species
AGCGAACGCUGGCGGCGGGCUUAACACAUGCAAGUCGAGCGGGCACUUUCGGGUGUCCGCGUCGGAUGGGUGUGUAAGGCGGGGGAACGUGUCCGUUGGUUCGGAAUAACUCAGGGCAACCUGAGCUAAAACCGGAUACGCCCGUUUGGGGUAAGGGUUGCUGCCGGAGGGUCGUGCCGCGUCUGAUUGGCUAGUUGGUGAGGGAACGGCUUACCAAGGCGACAAAUCGUAGCUGGGCUGGGAGAAUGAUCAGCCACACGGGGACCGGGACGCGGCCCAGACUCCUACGGGAGGCAGAAGUGGGGAAUAUUGGACAAGGGACGCAAGCCUGAUCAAGCCAUGCCGCGUGAGUGAUGAAGGCCUUAGGGUUGUAAAGCUCUUUUAUCCGGGACGAUAACGACGGUACCGGAAGAAUAAGCCCCGGCUAACUUCGUG